GUUCUCACUUUGGCAGCACAUAUACUAAACCUGAAAUGAUACAGAGAAGAUUGUUAUAGCCCCUGUACAAGGAUGACAUGCAAAUUUGUGAAGUGUUCUGUAUUUCU
ensembl:snRNA U6 U6 spliceosomal RNA